UUGCUUGCCAACAUUCAUAUUGUCUAUUUAUUGAGGAGAUCACAGAUGAAACAAGAAAAUAAUUGCAGUUGAUACGGGCAGAUCGGCAAGAGCAAUAUUCUUGUUCCUUGGUCCUAGUGGACCGCGGUCUCCAUCUCAGUAUAUAGAGGACCAACCAGGAAUUGAUUAGAACACAUAUAUUAUCCCAUCUACUACAACAGGAAUCAACCAAGCAUCCAUCCAUGAGAUCAUCGAUCUCCAUGGACAAGCACAAGAGUCACACCCGUGCACUAGCCUUGCUGCUCUCCCUGCUGCUUCUCGCCUGUUUUCCCCUUCAUGCGCACUGCGGCAUCAUGGAGGGAAUGGAGGAAGACAAGAUCAACUUACCGGGCGGGCUCUGCGUCCAUCAUAAAGACUGCAAACCGGGUAAUUGUUGCUACUGGUGUCUAGUGCUGGAUCUGUGCUAUGCAUCAGAGGCCGAGUGCAAUCGAGAGUGCAAAAGCCACAUCGAUGCGCGCCUGCAGUUUAACCUUCCAUCGCCUUCAAAUUAAGUUCCUCCAUUUUGAAUCGGCAACCCAAUGGAACAAGACUAGUAUUUCAAUUUGUUGUAUUCCCUCAAAGUCGCCGGAGGUAGUUGUUACAAUAAAAAUAUGGUGCAACGUUUUUGUAGCAAUUGUGUAUUUAUUUUUCAAUGUCUUAUUAGGGAACAUUUCUAAUUAUCAACCUUUUUAUGGUUUA